GUGAUGAGCUCGACCAAAGAGGACGUGUGACUGCGCGGCAGCUGGCUGA
rnacentral:snoRNA from 1 species